AUACGUAGGGGGCGAGCGUUGUCCGGAAUGAUUGGGCGUAAAGGGCGCGUAGGCGGCCCGGUAAGUCUGGAGUGAAAGUCCUGUUUUUAAGAUGGGAAUUGCUUUGGAUACUGUCGGGCUUGAGUGCAGGAGAGGUAAGUGGAAUUCCCAGUGUAGCGGUGAAAUGCGUAGAGAUUGGGAGGAACACCAGUGGCGAAGGCGACUUACUGGACUGUAACUGAUGCUGAGGCGCGAAAGUGUGGGGAGCAAACAGGAUUAGAUACCCUGGUAGUCCACACUGUAAACGAUGAAUGCUAGGUGUAGGGGGUAUCGACCCCUUCUGUGCCGCAGUCAACACAAUAAGCAUUCCGCCUGGGGAGUACGGCCGCAAGGUUGAAACUUAAAGGAAUUGACGGGG
rnacentral:rRNA from 1 species